GACGGAGGUCUCGAGCGUUGUUCGGAAUCACUGGGCUUAAAGCGCGUGUAGGCGGGACGGUAAGUACCUUGUGAAAUCCCCGGCCUCAAUCCGGGAAUGGCUGGGUAUACUAUCGUCCUUGAGGCAGGUAGGGGUCGCUGGAACCUUAGGUGGAGCGGUGAAAUGCGUAGAUAUCUAAGGGAACGCCUGUGGCGAAAGCGGGUGACUGGGCCUGUCCUGACGCUGAGACGCGAAAGCGUAGGGAG
rnacentral:rRNA from 1 species